AAUAGAGUUUGCGGCCAAAUGUGUAACUUUUUUGUUGAGUUUUCUAGUCAAUGAAAUUACAUAAAUACUUGUUCUGUGAAAUUAUACAGAGGUAUAUUUUUGGCAUAAUCUGAAUAAAUUACAUGCAGACACUUGAGGAUUGACGGGGUACCACGAAGUCAUGUAGAUGUGUGUAACAUGUGGAAGGAAACGCAUCGAUAUUCACCAUCGAUCCAAUCAGCAGCAACCAUCAGUUCUCGUGGAAAUCCCGCAAAUCGCGUUAGCAAUCUUCUGCUCAAUAAAAUUCACUUUUACAGUUUGUGAGAGGAUUCGACGAUUGAAGACGACAAUAGUAGCGGGGGAAAAUCCAAGUACAAUGCCAGCUCUAAGUGUCCCAUGCGUGCAGCUGCGUGGCGCUCAGAGGCGCCACAAUGUUGCAGGCUGUCGUCGCAGUGGCGUGUGUCAAAGUUGCCCCCAAAUGACUUUCCGCUUGUCUUGUCAACCAUCAGCCAUGCCAUCAUCCGACGUGAGGGAGCCCCUGGGGCGAGGAGGUGCUGUUCCGAAAGCAUGUUCGAAACCGAGUGAAGAAAAGGGCUCUGCUCUCGCCGUGACGCCCUCGCUGUGUUUGAGUUUUCUGGAUUGUAAUUCAAAUUUACCGAGCGCAAACAGCACGGUGGUGGCAAUUAAUUAAAUAUCACUCAUAUGUCAGACA